AUGUUAGGAAAUAUGCAUGCUUGGUUUAAUUUGGAUUUACUCAGGUCUUGUACUGGAGUUUUCAUGAGAACCCUUGUGUGCAGGCAAAGACAUUCUGAAGAAGGCCGGCAGGUGAAGGCACGCGAGUUUGCAAUGGGCAAGUCAUGUGUUCUCAACUUCUUUCUACUACCUGUAGUAUUAAAGAUGGCGCAAGAGCAGAAGACUGGACUGGGAUACACCUUUUUAAACAAGAGAUCCCAGGUCCCAGCCCGAGUCCUUACCAUCAAUCUCAUCCUUACCAUCAAUCUCAAUCUCAUCAAAGAGAACUUUGUACAAAUGAGAACUCACGACAGCAUUUCAAAAUCCUCAGAACACUUGGCUUUGGGGGUUUGUUGGAAAAGUAACGCACAGCUCCCUUGCAGUCAGCUCAGCAAUUGGUCUUGGGAGCAGAGAAAGGAGGAGGGGCCGGCUAAGCCCAUAAGUUGGGGAAAGACUACGAAGCAGUGAGCUGUUUGGCCUCUGAGUAGACCUCUGGUGUGAGUCGAAGGUGUGUGUAUUCCACUUCCUUCUAGAAGUUUCCUUAUGUGUGUGUUUGGGGAGGAGAUAGGUGUGAUAAGGGGCCACCGCAAAGAAGCCUUCGUGUCUGUGUGGGUGUGAUCUGAGGCCAGGGGAUCCAAGCCCAGGGCAUCUAACCCCUGGCCUGACUCGACUCUACGUAUGCUGUGAUUCCUUCACAUGAGGCCAUUCAUGGCAGCCCUAAGAGCCUUCUGGGUGGAGUGAGGCCCAGACAGGCUUCCUUGUAGGAUGGGAUGCUGAAAACCACAGCCUGGCUUCUGCUCCACCUCAAAUGAGAAUACUGACCCUCGUGGUACCUGUUCUGUGGGCUCGUCCAACUCAAUUCUGCUGCUUUCUUUUUUAUUCGGCCAUUAUUCUUCCAUUACUCAUCCUUAAAAAUACUGUGUAACAUAAUUUCAUAUGCCGCUUUGUAAGUAGUGUUUGAAUUAGUGGAUUCAAGUAGCAUUUAAGGAAGUUUUAAAUUCCAGAACAUCUAGUGUACUAGUAAAUGGCUUUGAACUAUAGCAGAAGAGAUUGAAGUUAGGCAUUAAGAAGAAUGUACUGGCUAUGAAGACGGUUCAAUAGCCAGCCAAGGAGUGUUGUGAAAGUGCUCUCUGGAUCUUUUAUGGCCAUGGUGUCUCUGAAGCCAUUUGCUUAGGGCCCUGUUUGUAGAGAGAAGAGUAUUUUUUUCUCUUAGAGUCUGAAUUCACUGAGUUUCUUUCCUCUGUGACCAAAAAUGAGUAGCUCCUGGCUCUCUUAGGGGGAAGGGGAAAGCUCCUGCACCCUAUUCUUGCAGAUACAUAUCACAAGGAAGCCAGGGCUUCACCUAAGGUUGCAUUUGUAAAACACAGGAAGGUGCUUACUUAGAUAAUAAAGCAAAGCCCAGGGGCCA
rnacentral:lncRNA from 1 species